rnacentral:rRNA from 2 species
GACGAACGCUGGCGGCGUGCUUAAUACAUGCAAGUCGAACGGAGUUAAGGGUUUCGGCCUUUAACUUAGUGGCGAACGGGUGAGUAACGCGUGAAUAACCUGACUCAAAGAGGGGGAUAACAACGGGAAACUGUUGCUAAUACCGCAUGAGACCACAACACCGCAUGAUGAAGGGGUCAAAGAUUUAUCGCUUUGAGAGGGGUUCGCGUCCCAUUAGGUAGUUGGAGGGGUAACGGCCCACCAAGCCAACGAUGGGUAGCCGAGCUGAGAGGCUGAUCGGCCACACUGGAACUGAGACACGGUCCAGACUCCUACGGGAGGCAGCAGUAGGGAAUAUUGGGCAAUGGGCGCAAGCCUGACCCAGCAACGCCGCGUGAGGGAAGAAGGUUUUCGGAUUGUAAACCUCUGUCCUAUGUGACGAAGGAAGUGACGGUAGCAUAGGAGGAAGCCCCGGCUAACUACGUG